CCUGAUGCAGCACGCCGCGUGAGGGAUGACGGCCUUCGGGUUGUAAACCUCUUUUAGUAGGGAAGAAGGGAGCUUCGGUUCUUGACGGUACCUGCAGAAAAAGCACCGGCUAACUACGUGCCAGCAGCCGCGGUAAUACGUAGGGUGCAAGCGUUGUCCGGAAUUAUUGGGCGUAAAGAGCUCGUAGGCGGUUUGUCGCGUCUGCUGUGAAAUCCCGAGGCUCAACCUCGGGCUUGCAGUGGGUACGGGCAGACUAGAGUGCGGUAGGGGAGAUUGGAAUUCCUGGUGUAGCGGUGGAAUGCGCAGAUAUCAGGAGGAACACCGAUGGCGAAGGCAGAUCUCUGGGCCGUAACUGACGCUGAGGAGCGAAAGCAUGGGGAGCGAACAGGAUUAGAUACCCUGGUAGUCCAUGCCGUAAACGUUGGGCGCUAGAUGUAGGGACCUUUCCACGGUUUCUGUGUCGUAGCUAACGCAUUAAGCGCCCCGCCUGGGGAGUACGGCCGCAAGGCUAAAACUCAAAGGAAUUGACGGGGGCCCGCACAAGCGGCGGAGCAUGCGGAUUAAUUCGAUGCAACGCGAAGAACCUUACCAAGGCUUGACAUACACCGGAAACGG
rnacentral:rRNA from 1 species